rnacentral:rRNA from 1 species
UACGUAGGGGGCGAGCGUUGUCCGGAAUCAUUGGGCGUAAAGCGCGUGUAGGCGGUCCGGUAAGUCCGCUGUGAAAGUCGGGGGCUCAACCCUCGAAUGCCGGUGGAUACUGUCGGGCUAGAGUGCGGAAGAGGCGAGUGGAAUUCCUGGUGUAGCGGUGAAAUGCGUAGAUAUCUGGAGGAACACCGGUGGCGAAGGCGGCAUCCUGGACCAACAUUGACGCUGAGGAGCGAAAGCUAGGGGAGCAAACGGG